rnacentral:rRNA from 1 species
ACGAACGCUGGCGGCGUGCUUAACACAUGCAAGUCGAGCGGUAAGGCCCGUUUCGGGGGUACACGAGCGGCGAACGGGUGAGUAACACGUGGGUGACCUGCCCUCAGCUCUGGGAUAAGCCUGGGAAACCGGGUCUAAUACUGGAUAUGACUCCAUGACGCAUGUUGUGGGGUGAAAGCCUUGUGCGGCUGAGGAUGGGCCCGCGGCCUAUCAGC